rnacentral:pre_miRNA from 1 species
GUGUAGCCGAAGUCCGUAUGAGUCUUUGUCUUUGUAUCUUCUAGCAAGGAUACAAUACUUAGGCUUUUAAGAUCUGGUUACGG